rnacentral:rRNA from 1 species
UUCGGGGUUUAGUGGCGCACGGGUGCGUAACGCGUGGGAAUCUGCCCUUUGGUUCGGAAUAACAGCUGGAAACGGCUGCUAAUACCGGAUGAUGACGAAAGUCCAAAGAUUUAUCGCCAGAGGAUGAGCCCGCGUUGGAUUAGGUAGUUGGUGGGGUAAAGGCCUACCAAGCCGACGAUCCAUAGCUGGUCUGAGAGGAUGAUCAGCCACACUGGGACUGAGACACGGCCCAGACUCCUACGGGAGGCAGCAGUGGGGAAUAUUGGACAAUGGGCGAAAGCCUGAUCCAGCAAUGCCGCGUGAGUGAUGAAGGCCCUAGGGUUGUAAAGCUCUUUUACCCGGGAAGAUAAUGACUGUACCGGGAGAAUAAGCCCCGGCUAACUCCGUGCCAGCAGCCGCGGUAAUACGGAGGGGGCUAGCGUUGUUCGGAAUUACUGGGCGUAAAGCGCACGUAGGCGGCUUUGUAAGUCAGAGGUGAAAGCCUGGAGCUCAACUCCAGAACUGUCUUUGAGACUGCAUCGCUUGAAUCC